CCCACCUCCUCUAUCUCUAUCCCCCCUCUCUCCGCCCCACCCCUCUCUCUCCCGCUCGUCUCUCCGAUUCCGGCGAGCUCCGGCGGGAUUCGACGGCGCCCAGCACACCCACGUGACCCCCUCCCCCCGCUCCUCCAUCCCCUCCGACCAGAUCCGAUGCGCGCGUGGGAUCAGAUGUUGCUAGUGGUAGUUCGGGGCGUGCGGGCGGACCAGAUCGACCUCAAGACCCUCGACGAGCAGCUCGACCGCCACCUCGCGCGCGCCAGGACUGGGAGGCUGACCCCGCCAGGCUCGUCGUCCGGGCCGUCAUCGCGCGCGGCACCUUCGGCACCGUCCACCGCGGCGCCUUCGACGGCCUCGACGUCGCAGUGAAACUGCUUGAUUGGGGGAGGAUGGUCAUAGGUCAAAGCAAGAAAUAACAGCAAUAAGAGCAGCAUUUUCGCAAGAAGUCUCCGUCUGGCAUAAGCUUGAUCAUCCAAAUGUAACUAAGAUACAACGGUCCGGCAAGCUGCUAUGGUGGUCAAGUGUGUGCUGCCUAGGAAAAUAGAUAUUUAGUUUUAGGUCAUUUAUUGUAAUUUCAGAUAUGGAGUGCUUGUCUUUAGUUUUUGUUUUUACUUUGUGAAACUUGCUACCUAUGAAUGAAUUGUGUAAUAUUGAUGAAACUAUGUAUAUGUAUGGAUGAAACUUGCUACUAUUGGUAACAUGUG
rnacentral:rRNA from 1 species